rnacentral:rRNA from 1 species
AUUGAACGCUGGCGGCAUGCCUUACACAUGCAAGUCGAACGGCAGCACGGGUGCUUGCACCUGGUGGCGAGUGGCGAACGGGUGAGUAAUACAUCGGAACAUGUCCUGUAGUGGGGGAUAGCCCGGCGAAAGCCGGAUUAAUACCGCAUACGAUCUACGGAUGACAGCGGGGGACCUUCGGGCCUCGCGCUAUAGGGUUGGCCGAUGGCUGAUUAGCUAGUUGGUGGGGUAAAGGCCUACCAAGGCGACGAUCAGUAGCUGGUCUGAGGGGACGACCAGCCACACUGGGACUGAGACACGGCCCAGACUCCUACGGGAGGCAGCAGUGGGGAAUUUUGGACAAUGGGCGAAAGCCUGAUCCAGCAAUGCCGCGUGUGUGAAGAAGGCCUUCGGGUUGUAAAGCACUUUUGUCCGGAAAGAAAUCCUUGGCCCUAAUACGGUCGGGGGAUGACGGUACCGGAAGAAUAAGCACCGGCUAACUACGUG